rnacentral:snRNA from 1 species
CGCCCGCCGCCCGAUUGCCGACCCU